UGGAUCCACUAGGGGUGCUUAUUAAGCUGAGAGAGGUAUAUUGCCUUGACCCUUACCAACCUGAUCUAGUUCGUACUAGCGGAGGGAAGUGGGCGGAUAUGCCU
rnacentral:ncRNA from 1 species